rnacentral:rRNA from 1 species
GAUUAGAUACCCCACUAUGCCCAGCCUUAACAAAACAAUUAAAACCACCAAUUGUUCGCCAAAUAACUACGAGUUUUAACUUAAAAUUUAAAUGACUUGACGGUACCCCACAACAACCUAGAGUAGCCUGUCUAAUAAUAGAUACCCCACGAUUAACCCUACCCACCACCUAGCCUAACAGUCUAUAUACCGCCGUCGCCAGCCCACCUCGUGAGAGAACAAAAGUGGGCCAAACAGUCAAACACUAGUACGACAGGUCAAGGUGUAACUAAUGGGUGGGAUCAAGAUGGGCUACAUUCUCUAACACAGAGAACACGAAUCAAACUCUGAAAAAAGAAACUGAAGGCGGAUUUAGCAGUAUAUUAAGAACAAAAUACUUAAUUGAAACAAACGCAAUGGAGUGCGCACACACCGCCCGUCAUCCCUGCUACCAACCUAACAUAUCCAUAAUAACACUACCACCACAAACCAGGGCAAGUCGUAACA